rnacentral:rRNA from 1 species
AUUGAACGCUGGCGGCAGGCCUAACACAUGCAAGUCGACCGAGUGGAGGCCGGGUGCGUCAUGUCUGGUAAAAUGCCUGGUGGAGGGGGAUAACUACUGGAAACUGUAGCUAAUACCGCAUAACCUCGGAUGUUCCCAGAUGGGAUUAGCUAGUAGGUGUGGUAAAGGCUCACCUAGGCGACGAUCCCUAGCUGGUCUGAGAGGCUGACCAGCCACACGUGGACGGGUAGACGGUGCAGAAUCGUAAGGGAGUCAGCAGUGGAGAAUAUUGCACAAGGGGCGAGAGCGUGAUGCGGCCAUGCCGCGAGUAUGAAGAAGUCAUGCGGGUUGUAAAGGACUUUCAGCGGGGAGGCGUUACCCGCAGAAGAAGCACCGGCUAACUCCGUGCCAGCAGCCGCGGUAAUAC